CAGAUGUGCAUUGGGCGGAUCGGUAAUUUUAAUUGCGAUAAUAGUUUUGCUGAAACUCAAGUUAAAGAGAUCGCACGGGGGUAACACAAAUUCUUUCGAUGGAUAUCAGAAAGAAGAUCCGCAGGUUAACCAAGUAGCUGUUGAGCACGCCACUGCCUAUGAAUCACUAAAUAUGAGGGACAGCAAAGGAUUUCGCAAAGAUUGACGGCUAGAAAUGCGUAUUAUCUAAUCUCAGAUGAAAGGAAAUGGCGCUGACAAAACUGACUUACGCUGCCGUGCAGCUCCCCGAUUCCGAGAAUAUCUCAGCAUCUAAAUAUCAAAACCAACAUACAUUGUACGCAUAUCUAAAUAUAUCAAAGGAACUGUGAAGCUGAGAACCAACGGACAGUUUGGAGCUGUAGACUAUCAAUGAGUGCAGACCUAGGCAUUCCUUCGUUUUAUUUCUUGCAUCCAGCCAAAGAAUGUCAAUCAAUAUCAUUUGUACAAGUUGACAAGAUAAGCGUUCAUCUUCGUCUUCGAUGUUCUUAUGAUUUAUUUGAGGGGGUUAUCAGCUGAAAAAAAUAUUACUAAGAAAUUUAAGAAUAAGAUUGGGAACAAGACAUUCCGCCUCCCUCUUCUGUCCGGUAAUUCAAGGUGAUAAUGACUGACCUGUUCAACCAUAUUUUCGUCUGCUAUAUCAUUGACAAGUCCUCAGCCAUUUCAUGAAAUAAACCUAUUUUGCCAUAGUAUGCCCCCCCCCCGCAAGCUAUUCCUUCCACAGUACUCAGAAGAUGUAAAAAAAUCAGAGAUUCGUCACCACCAGAGAGAGAAACUUUGUUUACAGAGUAAAAGCCGCUAACUGAACAGCUAUUCUUGUUCACUUCAACCGAAGGAAAUAUAGAUUUGAAGAUUUGAAGAAAUGGAAAAAUCUCGACUAUUUUUCCAACUUUAGAUUUUGUUUAGAUAUUUACUUUUAA